UACAGAGGGGGCAAGCGUUGUUCGGAAUUACUGGGCGUAAAGGGCGCGUAGGCGGCUUGAUAAGUAGGGGGGUGAAAUCUUGCGGCUCAACUGCAAGGCUGCCUCCUAAACUGACAGGCUUGAGCACAGUAGAGGCAGGUGGAAUUCCCGGUGUAGCGGUGGAAUGCGUAGAGAUCGGGAAGAACAUCGGUGGCGAAGGCGGCCUGCUGGGCUGUUGCUGACG
rnacentral:rRNA from 1 species